UACGUAGGGUGCAAGCGUUAAUCGGAAUUACUGGGCGUAAAGCGUGCGCAGGCGGUUUUGUAAGUCAGAUGUGAAAUCCCCGGGCUUAACCUGGGAACUGCGUUUGAAACUACAAGGCUAGAGUGUGGCAGAGGGGGGUGGAAUUCCACGUGUAGCAGUGAAAUGCGUAGAUAUGUGGAGGAAUACCGAUGGCGAAGGCAGCCCCCUGGGAUAACACUGACGCUCAUGCACGAAAGCGUGGGGAGCAAACAGG
rnacentral:rRNA from 1 species